UGAGUAUUUAUUAUGUCUCAGACUCUCUACAUAAAGUCCCAAGAUACAGCUAUAAAAGACAUAAAAUCUCCAUACUCGAGGAAGUCCCAUUUAGAGGAGAAGACAACCAUAAUAGACUCAAAAAGCAUUAAGAGCCAGUAGUUGAAAGAAUAUAGCGCCCAUACUCUUGAUCCCCUGGGGUUACUUUGAAGAGCCUUUCAGUUAAUGGCCCUUAAAGCAUUGAAAAUCUAUUCUCUGCCCUGGAGACAUCCAACCUAAAGCUAAUACAUUCUUAGUGAUUUCUUCUUCAUCAUUCUCCAAAUCCUUUAUGUCCACUAAAAAAAAAAAAUUCUGUGUAGGAUACCUUGCUACCUCUUCUACCUCAGUAAAACUCCAACAUUCUGCACCCCUUUUACCUUGAUGCUGCUUUCUUAUUCUACAGUUGUCAACUCAGGAACUAAUUCUUCUUGGAGAAGUCUCUCUAAAUUUGAAUUGCAGAUAAAUAAUUAUUUCAGGAAUAUAUUCCUAUAUUGCACUCUCCCUUCUUCUUGUGAUGAUGUGAGAUGAUGAAAUGCCCCUGUGAUGAGAGGAGGUUAGGUGAAUGACUCAGGCAUGUGAUAGUGUUAAGCUGCUAUGGACCUUCUGACAAUUUGUCAGAAAGAGUAUCACCUGCUUCCAGACCCUGGUUGACCAUGGAAAGCAAAACCACAGAUGGAGGUGAUGGGGACUACUAUAUUUGUUUCACUACAUAUCAGGCACUGUAUUAGGGUUAGAAAUAAAAAGAUUCACUGAAAACCCUUCAAAGUCCUAGCACCGUUAAUUUAUCAUUACUGACAAGCUGAUUCUAAAAUUUUAACAUAAAGGGCCAAGAACUGAAAAGGCCAUCUUGAAAAAGAACAAAACUAGAGGGUUUGCAUGAGCAGGAUCAUUUUGUAACCUGAUCAUGGAAAUAAGAUGGAAUGUUGAUUUUUGUAUUUAUAUAUCUAACAGAUAUUCAGAUAAUGUGCACAAGGUGUUCCUUCUGAUUCUUUCUACAUAUAUUGGUUAAAUCACCUAUGAAGGGUCUAUUCAAGUGGAAGAUAUUAGAUGCAUCUUAAAUGAUAAAACUUUUUUUAAAAGAAGCAAACACAAAGUACUUUUUGAUCAACACUCACUAAAUACAUUAUUUUUAAAUAAUUUGAAAAUAACCUGCUAAAUUUUCAACAUAAGAAUGCUUUGAAACCCUGGAUCAAGAGUAGCCGUUUCUUGACAUGGAAGAUUCCACUAUAAGAAAUCAACAUGCCUGUUUCAUAUAAAUUUUUUUCCUGUGUCUGCCAUCAUACACUGUGAUCUUUUGUGGAAUAUUCAUAAAGUUUUAUUUUUGAAUUUGCAAUUCUGAGAAUCAGACUCUUGCAUUUUCAUUUAUAAUAGUUCUGAAACCAAAUGUGUGGGUUUUUCCCCCCAACAGCAGCCAGUUCUCCAACUGUCCUAAUCCCAAAUAAGUGAUUUACAAUUCAAUUGUGACACUACUUGGAAUUAACACAGAUCCCACAGUUUAAGGGGAGGUCUUAAUAUUUAAGUUCAUUCUCACAUAACUGCCCUCCACAUCAGAUACCAAUCAUAAGUUCCAGCCUCCUACACUUCUGUAGACCAGCAUAAAUUAGAGAUUCCUGUGACCUCCCUUUGGGAUUUGAUAAUUUGCUAUAACUAUGCACAAAACUCUGAGAAUUGUUUUACUUACUGUUACUAGUUUAUUAUGAAGGAUCAAAACAAAUAGCUGAUAAAGAGCUAUAUGGGGCAGACAACAAAAUGGUCCUGGGCACAGGAAUUUCUAUCCCUGUGGAUUUGGAGUGCACCAUCCUCCUACAUGCAGAUGCUUGGAUUGGAUCCAUCAAUCCAAAAACUUUUCAAAUCCCAGCAUUCAUAGUCUUUAUGGAAGUUUCAUUAUGCAGAAACAAUUGAUUAAAUCAAUAGCCAUUGGUGACUGAACUACACCUCUGGGCACUCUCCCCUCCCUGGAGGUCAGGGGAUGGGGCUGAAAGUUCCAAUCCUCUAAACAUGCCUUCUUCUUUCUCAUGAUCCACCCUCAUCCUAAAGAUGACUAGUGGUCCCCAGCCACCAGUCAUCUCAUUAGUAUAUAAAACAUGCAUCACUCUAGAGAUUCCAAGUAUUUUAGAAGCUGUAUGCAAGGAACCAAAAACAAAGGCCAAAUAUAUAUUUCUAAUCACAUAGACUUUAAUCUUAUGAAUUUAACAGAGUUAAUAUCAUGAGGCUCAAAGGUCAAAGGUAGUCCUUUGACCUUCCAUGCCUGUUCUUUUUCAAACCAUUUACCAUAAGUAAUACACAGGACAAAGACCCAAACUCUGAAA